AACGAACGCUGGCGGCAGGCUUAACACAUGCAAGUCGAGCGCCUCGCAAGAGGAGCGGCAGACGGGUGAGUAACGCGUGGGAACGUACCCUUAUCUUCGUAAUAGCUCUGGGAAACUGGAAGUAAUACCGAAAGUGCCCUCAGGGGGAAAGAUUUAUCGGAUAAGGAUCGGCCCGCGUUGGAUUAGCUAGUUGGUGGGGUAAAGGCCUACCAAGGCGACGAUCCAUAGCUGGUCUGAGAGGAUGAUCAGCCACAUUGGGACUGAGACACGGCCCAAACUCCUACGGGAGGCAGCAGUGGGGAAUAUUGGACCAUGGGCGCAAGCCUGAUCCAGCCAUGCCGCGUGAGUGAUGAAGGCCUUAGGGUUGUAAAGCUCUUUCACCGGAGAAGAUAAUGACGGUAUCCGGAGAAGAAGCCCCGGCUAACUUCGUG
rnacentral:rRNA from 1 species